UUGGUAGAGCCGAGUGGCCUGUUUUGUCAGGGCGCUGAUUGGUGCGUUUACAAUCCCUGAGCUAGAUACAAAGGUUCUCCAUGUUCCCAUCAUAUUAGUUAGAUACAGAGUUUCGACACACAGGUUCUCCAAGGCCCCACCAGAGCAGCUAGAUACAGAGUGUCGACUGGUGCAUUCACAAACCUUGAGCUAAACACAGGGUGCUGAUUGGUGUAUUUGUAAUCCCUGAGCUAGAUAUAAAGACUCUCCAUGUCCCCACCAGACUCAGGAGCCCAGCUGGCUUCACCUAGUGGAUCCUGCACUGGGGCUGCAGGUGGAGCUGCCUGCCAGUCCCGUACUGUGCGCUCACACUCCUCAGCCCUUGGGCGGUCGAUGGGACUGGGCGCCGUGAGCAGGGGGUGGUGCUCGUCGGGGAGGCUCCGGCCGCACAGGAGCCCAUGGCGGGGGUGGGAGGCUCAGGCAUGGUGGGCUGCAGGUCCUGAGCCCUGCCCCGAGGGAAGGCAGCUAAGGCCCAGCGAGAAAUCGAGCACAGCACCGGUGGGCUGGUACUGCUGGGGUACUCAGUACACCCUCCGCAGCCACUGGCCCAGGUGCUAAGUCCCCCACUGCCUGGGGCCAGCAGGGCUGGCUGGCUGCUCCGAAUGCGGGGCCCACCAAGCCCACACCCACCCAGAACUCCAGCUGGCCUGCAAGCGCCGCAUGCAGCCCUGGUUCCCGCUCGUGCCUCUCCCUCCACACCUCCCUGCAAGCUGAGGGAGUGGGCUCCAGCCUUGGCCAGCCCAGAAAGGGGCUCCCACAGUGCAGUGGGGGGCUGAAGGGCUCCUCAAAUGCCACCAAAGUGGGAGCCCAGGCAGGGGAGGUGCCAAGAGCAAGCGAGGGCUCUGAGGACUGCCAGCAUGCUGUCACCUCUCAGCUUCACCCACCCAGUGACCUUGAGUCUCCUUAACUUUCCAACUAGCCUACCUCCCAGAGGUCCCCCACACCCCUCUCCCCUCCUUCGGCCAGCCCUGAGGGCCAGGCCCUUUCUCACUUCCUGAACCAAGUACUGGAAGUAGAAGAAACUGUUGUCAGGCUCCGAGUUCCACCUCUGGGUCAAGGGCUCCAGAGCCUGGUGCUGCAGCUUGGCCAAGGGAACCCAAAAACCAGGUCAGCAGUACAUCCACUCUCUGAGCUUUGGUUCUGUCAUUGCACAGGAUUAAUGUUCCAUCUCAGAUUAACUCUGAAAUCAAAUGAGGUAAUGUAUUAGUACUUGUGUGUACAGAAUUGGUGGGUUCUUGGUCUCACUGACUUCAAGAAUGAAGCCAUGGACCGUCGCAGUGAGUGUUAACAGUUCUUAAAGCGGCACGUCUGGAGUUAUUUGUUCCUCCUGGUGGGUUCGUGGUCUCGCUGGCUUCAGGAGUGAAGCUGCAGACCUUCACGGUGAGUGUUACAGCUCAUAAAAGCAGUGUGGACCCAAAGAGUGAGCAGUAGCAAGAUUUAUUGCAAAGAGCUAAAGAACAAAGCUUCCAUAGUGUGGAAGGGGACCUGAGCGGGUUGCCAUUGCUGGCUCGGGCAGCCUGCUUUUAUUCUCUUACCUGGCCCCACCCACAUCCUGCUGAUUGGUCCAUUUUACAGAGAGCUGAUUGGUCCAUUUUACAGAGAGCUGAUUGGUGCGUUUACAAUCCCUGAGCUAGACACAAAAGUUCUCCAAGUCCCCACUAGAUUAGCUAGAUACAGAGUGUGGACACAAAGGUUCUCCAAGUCCCCACCAGAGUAGCUAGAUACAGAGUGUCAAUUGGUGCAUUCCCAAAUCCUGAGCUAGACACAGGGUGCUGAUUGGUGUGUUUACAAACCUUGAGCUAGAUACAGAGUGCCGAUUGGUGUAUUUACAAUCCCCUAGCUAGACAUAAAGGUUCUCCAAGUCCCCACCAGACUCAGGAGCCCAGCUGGCUUCACCCAGUGGAUCCCGCACCGGGGCUGCAGGUGGAGCUGCCUGCCAGUCCUGCGCCGUGCGUCUGCACUCCUCAGCCCUUGGGUGGUGGAUGAGACUGGGCGCCGUGGAGCAGGGGGCGGUGCUCGUUGGGGAGGCUCGGGCUGCACAGGAGCCCACGGGAGGCAGAGGCUCAGGCAUGGUGGGCUGCAGGUCCUGAGCCCUGCCCCGCGGGGAGGCAGCUAAGGCCCAGGGAGAAAUUGAGCGCAGCACCAGUGGGCCAGCACUGCUGGGGGACCCAGCGCACCCUCUGCAGCCGCUGGCCUGGGUGCUAAGCCCCUCAUUGCCUGGGGCUGGCAGGGCCAGCCGGCCGCUCCCAGUGCGGGGCCUGCCAAGCCCACGCCCACCCGGAACUCCAGCUGGCCCACAAGUGUGGCGUGCAGCCCCAGUUCCUGCUCCCGCCUCUCCCUCCACACCUCCCUGCAAGCUGAGGGAGCCAGCUCCAACCUUGGCCAGCCCA
rnacentral:lncRNA from 10 species